AGGGAUGUGGUUCAGUUGGUAGAAUGCUUGCCUAGCAUGCAUGAAGCCCUGGGUUCAAGCCCCAGCACCACAU
rnacentral:tRNA from 1 species